rnacentral:tRNA from 1 species
GGCUGUGGCCCAGAGCGUGGGACUCAUAAGCCCGAGGUCGAGGGUUCGACUCCCUCCCCAGCUA